UUAGGUCUUGCUUCAUAGAUGGACAGGGAGGAGGACUGGGCAGGGGGAACUGGGGUUGAGCUGCGCCCUCUCUGGAAGUUGGGUCUGAGAACAUUGAUUCUAGAACGGUGGUUCCAACUUCAGCCCACACUUGCCUUCUCUGAGGUUGUGGAUGGUCCUCCUGAUGUUUGGAGAUCUGUCAUUAAUCUGGAGAAUAAACGGAGGCCGAGAAAGUGGCCUUUCAAGGACAGAAGCUCAAGGAGGACUUGAACCUCUCGGCAUCAGGAAGCGGUCUCCUCACUGGUGUCUUCGUCUCCACAUGGGAUGGAAUUGGAAAGCCUUGCUACUCAGUUAUCCAUGAUGACUUCAGAAGUAUGAACAUUGGUAGCAAAGGGUCAGUGUAACUAACUCAGCACAGCACAUAGCCUGAGAUGUGGACAUGUUUGGUGGCCCACAAACGACAGCUCACUUCUCCCAGAGGAGCCUGUCUGGCUGGACUUCAAGUCCCAGGCUGGGGUUAAAGAGCCUGGGAAAAGCUGUCAUAAAGACCAACAGGGUCUUUACCAGCUGCAGAAGUACUAAAAUUUG